rnacentral:misc_RNA from 1 species
AAAAAACAAUCCCUUGCAAACAAGAAGAUUGUGGUGGCAGACUUGUAUAACCUGCUGCCACGACCGAGGCCCCGUGAAUGGAAAGGCACCAAAUAUAGGAACUGCUAAAAGCAACCAGGAAGAUGAUUUGUCUAGGCGAUCAUAAACCCCUACCCCCUUUGAGGAAAACACAACACAAACCCAAACAUAACAGAGAAAACAAACACAAGAAACGGAAACGUGGCUCGAGUAUUAGAACCUGAGAUAAUCCCACCUGGGACGAGCAGGACAAAAAACCAAGUACCGAUUACCCGAAUAACACAACCUAA